AGAAUAGGACAAUAUGUGCUUGAUUCUUGAUGAGGAAAAAGUUGGUACACAGUCAAUAUACAGCAUUAAAAGACACACAAAAACAAGAAGGUUCUUCUGGAGUCAGACUGGAAUUGUAUUUUCGAUGUAUAUGCAUAUGAAUUAAAAGGUGGGCAGAUUUACACGUACAAUUAAGGGAUUCAUGGAUGUGGUGGUUGGGAGCUGAAGAGGAGCCCAGGGGUCAAAGUUGAGCAUCUGUAAGGAGUGAAGUAAAACAAAAGAAAACCCUGACCUGCAGUCCCGGGUGUCUCUCAGGCCGUGGUGAGGUGUCUUUGU